rnacentral:rRNA from 1 species
UUGCUUUCUUUGCUGGCGACCGGCGCACGGGUGAGUAACACGUAUCCAACCUGCCCUUUACUCGGGGAUAGCCUUUCGAAAGAAAGAUUAAUACCCGAUAGCAUAAUGAUUCCGCACGGUUUCAUUAUUAAAGGAUUCCGGUAAAGGAUGGGGAUGCGUUCCAUUAGGUUGUUGGUGAGGUAACGGCUCACCAAGCCUUCGAUGGAUAGGGGUUCUGAGAGGAAGGUCCCCCACAUUGGAACUGAGACACGGUCCAAACUCCUACGGGAGGCAGCAGUGAGGAAUAUUGGUCAAUGGGCGCUAGCCUGAACCAGCCAAGUAGCGUGAAGGAUGAAGGCUCUAUGGGUCGUAAACUUCUUUUAUAUAAGAAUAAAGUGCAGUAUGUAUACUGUUUUGUAUGUAUUAUAUGAAUAAGGAUCGGCUAACUCCGUGCCAGCAGCCGCGGUAAUACGGAGGAUCCGAGCGUUAUCCGGAUUUAUUGGGUUUAAAGGGAGCGUAGGUGGACUGGUAAGUCAGUUGUGAAAGUUUGCGGCU